AACCCAUGGUGAGGGCAUCUUUUCAAAAGGUCCUUGUAUCUCUCCUAUGCAUCGUGAGUGUUUCUAAACCCAUCUUCACAAAAGAGGAGAUAUCAUUACAUAAUUU
rnacentral:snoRNA from 1 species